ACGAACGCUGGCGGCGUGCUUAACACAUGCAAGUCGAACGGAAAGGCCUUUUCGGAGGUACUCGAGUGGCGAACGGGUGAGUAACACGUGGGUGAUCUGCCCUGCACUCUGGGAUAAGCCUGGGAAACUGGGUCUAAUACCGGAUAGGACCGCACUUUAGUGUGUGUGGUGGAAAGUUUUUUCGGUGUAGGAUGAGCCCGCGGCCUAUCAGCUUGUUGGUGGGGUAAUGGCCUACCAAGGCGGCGACGGGUAGCCGGACUGAGAGGUUGGUCGGCCACAUUGGGACUGAGAUACGGCCCAGACUCCUACGGGAGGCAGCAGUGGGGAAUAUUGCACAAUGGGCGCAAGCCUGAUGCAGCGACGCCGCGGGGGGGAUGACGGCCUUCGGGUUGUAAACUCCUUUCGCCAGGGACGAAGCGUUUUGUGACGGUACCUGGAGAAGAAGCACCGGCUAACUACGUG
rnacentral:rRNA from 1 species